UUGGCGGAGCCGAGACUCCCCGGCCGCCCAGCGCUGUUUUGCUUGCUGUUGCUUACUCAAUAACUUCCUUUCUAUUAUUAAUGCAAUGCUCUCCGAAAAUUAAUUAAGGGGGCAACUUAUAACAAAUUUGGUGCCGUGACUCGGAUGAAGGCAAUCUGAUUGAAAGACCUUCGGAGGGGGCGCCCCGCUGAUUUCAGCGGCCUUCGCUAGGACUACUUUCAUUCAAAUCCUUCACCGACGAACCCUAAAUUCGGCAGCAAGCAAAUAAAGCCGGCAACCCCUAGUAAUCUUUGUGCACGAAGACCGAACGAAGACUCAGGAGUGAGUGAUAAUUAUACCAAGGAUUCUAUACCACCCUGAGGAUUAUAUGUACACCCAGACACAGUGGAAAGUCAUCAUCUGGAAAGACGGGAACCAUUCAUGGCUCUAACUUUGGCCACCCUAAUAAUCCUGGGAGGAGCUGGAGUGGGAACCAGGGUAGCCUCAUUGGUUAAACAAAAUCAAGAAUUUACUUCCUUAUGCAUUGCUGUGGACGAGGACCUGACCCAAAUUGAACAAUCCAUUUCGGCCCUGGAAAAUCUAUCAGGUUGCUUUCAGAGGUAGUGUUACAAAAUCAUAGGGGAUUAGAUUUGGUAUUUUUUUACAACAGGACGGGCUGUGUGCAGCCCCGAAAGAGGAAUGCUGUGUGUAUGCUGAUCACACUGGAGAGGUAAGAGAUACAAUGGCAAGACCCAGGGAAGGGUUGAAAAAAAAAAAAAA